GACACGAAUGUUCCAUAAUUAACAAGGGUUCAAAGAUACAUUCUCACGAAAGUAUUUAUAGGGUAACUAUUUCCUAUAAAACUAUGGCAAAUUUGGUAUAAAUGAAAAGUAGAGACGGCAAUCUUAUUAGAAAUUUGCUGGAUUCCCUGAAAAACACUCAUGGGGCAAGCACUGGGCAAAUAUGUCAGGGUAUCACUAACAGGCAACCUGGUUGCUUAAUUAUUGUCUGCCAGCACUUGCUAUUUCUUGAUCGAAUGGUUAAGCGGUUUUGGGAACAUUUAGGGGAUUACAUGUAAAUGUACAAAAGACCCUGCAAUUAAACAGUGGAACAGGAAGUUGGCAGAAUUCAAGGAUUAACUUAGGCUUCAAUAUAUGGCAAAUGGACACUUGAAUCUCAACUACCCACACUGAUCAGCAGUGAAUAUUCGCUAGGCCAAUAUAAUCACUGAUAAGGAUGACAUCGAUACGACUUAAUGAGCCACAAAUAUUAACUUUUUUCCUUUGGCUAAUUCGGAUCUUCUUUUAACUUGGAUAGAAUUGGUCAGUCCACUUAGAUCCGAAUUAUGCGAAGUUUACUGUAUAUACAGUCUGAGUUUAACAAGCAUCUACCAGAAAUUUAAUGUUUUAUUGCAACCAGAUAUACAACUACCCAUACUGAUCAGCAGUGAAUAUUCGCUAAGCAGCUACAAUCACUGAGAGGGAUGACAUCGAUGCGACUUGAUGAGCUCGUGAUAUUAACUUUUUCCCAUCCGUAAAUUAAAUUCUAAAACAUUUUUUUGUGGUAUUAGAAAAAUAAAUAAAUGUAUUUUAA